GGGGAAUCUUAGACAAUGGGCGCAAGCCUGAUCUAGCCAUGCCGCGUGAGCGAUGAAGGCCUUAGGGUUGUAAAGCUCUUUCGUGGGGGAAGAUAAUGACUGUACCCCAAGAAGAAGCCCCGGCUAACUCCGUGCCAGCAGCCGCGGUAAUACGGAGGGGGCUAGCGUUGUUCGGAAUUACUGGGCGUAAAGCGCACGUAGGCGGACCGGAAAGUCAGAGGUGAAAUCCCAGGGCUCAACCUUGGAAAUGCCUUUGAAACUCCCGGUCUUGAGUGCGAGAGAGGUGAGUGGAAUUCCGAGUGUAGAGGUGAAAUUCGUAGAUAUUAGGAGGAACACCAGUGGCGAAGGCGGCUCACUGGCUCGAUACUGACGCUGAGGUGCGAAAGCGUGGGGAGCAAAC
rnacentral:rRNA from 1 species